rnacentral:rRNA from 1 species
CGUAAAGGCUUCAACACUCUUGUUAUGCUCACGACUUGGGAGCUCUGGAAGCAUAGGAACAACUAUGUCUUCAACGGUCUCCGCCCCUCCACCGGCAGCCUAUUUGAGACCAUUCGGUAGGAGGCUUUGCUUUGGGCUCGUGCCGAAGCCAACAGAUUGCACAACAUUGCAGGCAUAGUUUGA